AAAUAAAUAGGCCUUCUCUUCCCAGUUCUUCCCGGAGUUGAGAAAAGCUGGGUUGAGAGGGUGAAAAAAAUAAAUU
rnacentral:pre_miRNA from 1 species